GUGAACGCUGGCGGUAGGCCUAACACAUGCAAGUCGAACGGCAGCACAGUAAGAGCUUGCUCUUACGGGUGGCGAGUGGCGGACGGGUGAGGAAUACAUCGGAAUCUACUUUUUCGUGGGGGAUAACGUAGGGAAACUUACGCUAAUACCGCAUACGACCUACGGGUGAAAGCAGGGGAUCUUCGGACCUUGCGCGAUUGAAUGAGCCGAUGUCGGAUUAGCUAGUUGGCGGGGUAAAGGCCCACCAAGGCGACGAUCCGUAGCUGGUCUGAGAGGAUGAUCAGCCACACUGGAACUGAGACACGGUCCAGACUCCUACGGAAGGCAGCAUUGGGGAAUAUUGGACAAUGGGCGCAAGCCUGAUCCAGCCAUACCGCGUGGGUGAAGAAGGCCUUCGGGUUGUAAAGCCCUUUUGUUGGGAAAGAAAGCAGCAGGUUAAUACCCCGCUGUUCUGACGGUACCCAAAGAAUAAGCACCGGCUAACUUCGU
rnacentral:rRNA from 1 species